UUCACAAAGCCCAUACACUUUCAC
rnacentral:ncRNA from 3 species